rnacentral:rRNA from 1 species
CCGCGUGAGGGAUGACGGCCUUCGGGUUGUAAACCUCUUUUAGCAGGGAAGAAGCGCAAGUGACGGUACCUGCAGAAUAAGCGCCGGCUAACUACGUGCCAGCAGCCGCGGUAAUACGUAGGGCGCAAGCGUUGUCCGGAAUUAUUGGGCGUAAAGAGCUCGUAGGCGGUCUGUCGCGUCUGGUGUGAAAUCCCGAGGCUCAACCUCGGGCUUGCGUCGGGUACGGGCAGACUAGAGUGCGGUAGGGGAGACUGGAAUUCCUGGUGUAGCGGUGGAAUGCGCAGAUAUCAGGAGGAACACCGAUGGCGAAGGCAGAUCUCUGGGCCGCAACUGACGCUGAGGAGCGAAAGCAUGGGGAGCGAACAGGAUUAGAUACCCUGGUAGUCCAUGCCGUAAACGUUGGGCACUAGGUGUGGGGCUCAUUCCACGAGUUCCGUGCCGCAGCUGACGCAUUAAGUGCCCCGCCUGGGGAGUACGGCCGCAAGGCUAAAACUCAAAGGAAUUGACGGGGGCCCGCACAAGCGGCGGAGCAUGCGGAUUAAUUCAAUGUAACGCGAAGAACCUUACCAAGGCUUGACAUGCACCGGAAACACUCAGAGAUGGGUGUCCCGCAAGGUCG